UGGCGUUAGAGACCAGGAUGCGGUGU
rnacentral:piRNA from 1 species